GAUGAACGCUGGCGGCGUGCCUAAUACAUGCAAGUAGAACGCUGAAGGAGGAGCUUGCUCUUCUGGAUGAGUUGCGAACGGGUGAGUAACGCGUAGGUAACCUGCCUGGUAGCGGGGGAUAACUAUUGGAAACGAUAGCUAAUACCGCAUGACAACAGUUAUUGCAUGAUAACUGUUUAAAAGGGGCAACUGCUCCACUACCAGAUGGACCUGCGUUGUAUUAGCUAGUUGGUGAGGUAACGGCUCACCAAGGCGACGAUACAUAGCCGACCUGAGAGGGUGCUCGGCCACACUGGGACUGAGACACGGCCCAGCCUCCUACGGGAGGCAGCAGUAGGGAAUCUUCGGCAAUGGACGGAAGUCUGACCGAGCAACGCCGCGUGAGUGAAGAAGGUUUUCGGAUCGUAAAGCUCUGUUGUAAGAGAAGAACGAGUGUGAGAGUGGAAAGUUCACACUGUGACGGUAUCUUACCAGAAAGGGACGGCUAACUACGUG
rnacentral:rRNA from 1 species